rnacentral:rRNA from 1 species
GAUGAACGCUAGCUACAGGCUUAACACAUGCAAGUCGAGGGGAAACGACAUCGAAAGCUUGCUUUUGAUGGGCGUCGACCGGCGCACGGGUGAGUAACGCGUAUCCAACCUGCCCAUCACUUGGGAAUAACCUUGCGAAAGUAAGACUAAUACCCAAUGAUAUCCCACGAAGGCAUCGGAGUGGGAUUAAAGAUUUAUCGGUGAUGGAUGGGGAUGCGUCUGAUUAGCUUGUUGGCGGGGUAACGGCCCACCAAGGCAACGAUCAGUAGGGGUUCUGAGAGGAAGGUCCCCCACAUUGGAACUGAGACACGGUCCAAACUCCUACGGGAGGCAGCAGUGAGGAAUAUUGGUCAAUGGGCGAGAGCCUGAACCAGCCAAGUAGCGUGCAGGAAGACGGCCCUAUGGGUUGUAAACUGCUUUUAUAAGGGAAUAAAGUGGGUCACGUGUGACUUUUUGCAUGUACCUUAUGAAUAAGGACCGGCUAAUUCCGUG